rnacentral:tRNA from 1 species
GCAUGGCGUAGCAGCCAAGCGCAUCAUAUUAUGUUGGUGGGGUUGUUGGUAAAUAACAUAAUUGUAUCGUAAGUGAUUGAUGUUUAAAUUACAGUGGCGGAUUCAAAAUCCGCCGGGUGCAAGCCCUUGUCGGUUCGAGUCCGACCGCCGGUACCA